AAAUAAUUUAUUAAUAAAAAUAAAAUAAUUUAUGAGAAAUUUAUGGUCACUUUUUUAUUAUAUAUAAUAAAAUAAAAAUAAAAUAAAUCUCAAAAAUACUAUUGGUAACUUUUUAAAUCGAGCAUUCCUCUCAUCUCACUCCUCAACCACGGGCUGUGACAAUAACUCAAGCAUUUGUUGCGGCUGAUUCUCCUCUUUUCAUUUAAGAAAUCCUUUUUCAAUUGAAAUCCAAGUUUCUGGUAUUUUUCUCAAAAAUCAAUCAAUCUAAUAUUUUAUUCUACGACUUUCAUGUUUAAUUUUUUUCUUUUUGAUUUGGUAGAUUAUUUUCUUCUUCGUGAUUAUUUCCCAUAUAAGUUCGUCCCUUUUUAGAUUAAAAAAAAAUCCAGCCAGUCCAGCCCAACUCUCUUCUUCAUCUUCUUCAUUCACCAUUGUUUCUGCUUUUCUUUUCAAAAAAUUUAUAGUCUCUCAAUUGGGUCUGACUGAAUUAAAUCUCACUUUUCCUUUUUCUUAGAUAUAUCUACAUCUUCAAUUGAGUGCUUCAUCAAAUCAAAUCAAAUCACCAUUAAAUAAGAGAUAAGAAUUCCAAUUUACACUUGAUCUUUGUAUGGAUUAUUUAAAUUUUUAAUUUGAUUUGUCUUGCUUCCUUGUUCUGUUUAAAUGGGACAUUAUUAAAACUAUGAUUGUUUGGUUUUUAAAAAUACGGAAUAGAUGGUAGUAUUUUACUAAUUAUUUAGUUACUUUUACUACUUACAUAUUUAAUUCAAUUUUGGGAUCAUUUGCUGAUUGAAGACGAGGUUGAGAAUCAUGAGAAUCAUAUUGGUAAUCCUCAUUAAUUGGACUUUUAUGAAGUAGAAAACAUCAGCCUUAUAUCAUAAAUUAUAUUUUAGUGGCAACACUUGCAGAAGAUAAGUUUCAUGACGAGGUUAAGUCAUUCCAAGUUUGUAUCAUCCUAUACAAAGAUGUAAAUUUGGAAUAUUACUGGUGUAUAAAUAAGACUGCAAUGCAAUGCUUCUCUUUUUUACUGGUUCAUAUGAUACUCAUUCUAUUCCAUUAAUAUUUUUUUGCUGCUAUUUUAAUUGGUUUAUAAUCAUGUAUUGUUCACUACUUUAUAUAAAAAAAAAAGUUUAUACUGAUGGUGUUUUUAUUAUUACUUAUAGCAGAUAUAAAAAUUUAUGAAGCCUCUUCAAGUGCGGCAUUUCUACUCUUGGCAAUUUCUUUUUCUUAUCAUCAUUUCAUUCAUUCAAUCUAUUCAAUCCAUUUUCAUUUUCAUUCAUCAAUGUCUUUUAAAGAUUCUGUUUGUUAGGGCGAAAGGGUGUUAGAAAUUCAUUCUCAUUCGUGUGGUUUUCUCUUAUGUGCUUUCAAUGUAGGAAUCUGAUGUAGGAUAGAGAAAGGCAAGUAAAAGAAAGUUGAGGCAUGGUGUUUCUACAUGCCCAUCAAUUCUUUCUCCAGAAUUACAAUCCCAAAAACUCAAGAAACGACCCAAAAUACAAUCUUCCAUUGACAAAGUAUUUACUUGUGGUUGCUAUUGCGAUUGUUGAAUGAAAUUCGUGUGGAUCUUUUUGAGCUCAAGUAGGGAAAUAUGGUCUACAUUUCCUAGGCAGGAGGAAGCGAUGAAGUUUUCCAAGGAGCAUGAUCAUGCUCGUGUUUUCAGUUACCAAGAUCAUUUUAAUGGGCAAAGAAGGUUCCUUGUUUCAACUUAUAUAGAAUUCUGGAAAAGAUACAAGAAUACAGAUUCAAAUUUUUGCCACCAUUAUGAAGUGAUUCAGGAGGUGUAAAUCUAUCGAUACUCUCAGAUCAACCAAGAUAAAAACUGUGAAAUUACUGCCGCCCCCUUGGUCUUUAAGGAACACGAUUGUUGGGACAUCUUGCUGGUCUAACUGUGUUCUAAUAUUUGUAACGAAUGCACACUUAAGUGAAUCAAUUCAGGGUCUUAGCUCUCUCUAGGGUCUUUUGGUAUAACUGCAACAGAGCUUGCUCAUGGUCAUGUUCCUUUCUCAAGAUACCCUCCAAUAAAGGUGCAUAGCUUGCUCAAUUUAUUGGACUCUAAUCACUUUAAUUACGAAUAGAGUUUAAUCUGAACCAAUUUUUAAAUUGUGAGUAGAUACUACUAAUGACACUGCAAAGUGGACCUCCUUGCGUUACUAAUCCUUCGGAUGAUAUGUUUUCUAAUAGCUUUAGGCAAAUGGUUGCUUCUUACUUGAUAAAAGACUAUUUAAGGCUCCCUUCUGCAAAAAUAUUGCUAAAGCAUUCAUUCUUUAACAAGCUCGGUCAAAGGAUUAUAUCCAGAGGAAGUUUUUAGAGGGGCUUUUUCAAUAGUGUUUUCAAUUGUAUAUGUUUCUUUUUAAUUUUGAAAAUCUCCAUAAUUUAUUGUCUUUAACAAUAUGAUAUAGAUUUGUUUCUUUCACAAAAAUAUCAACAAUUUACAUAUUAUUUAGCUUUUAAUUUCAUAGAUUUAAUAUUAUUGCUUUUGU